rnacentral:rRNA from 1 species
UACGAAGGGGGCUAGCGUUGUUCGGAUUUACUGGGCGUAAAGCGCACGUAGGCGGAUCGAUCAGUCAGGGGUGAAAUCCCAGAGCUCAACUCUGGAACUGCCUUUGAUACUGUCGAUCUGGAGUAUGGAAGAGGUGAGUGGAAUUCCGAGUGUAGAGGUGAAAUUCGUAGAUAUUCGCAAGAACACCAGUGGCGAAGGCGGCUCACUGGCCCCGGUACUGACGCUGAGGUGCGAAAGCGUGGGGAGCAAACAGG